UUCCAUGCGAGUAUGUUAUCUACGUUCUGACGGUAACAGAUAAUAUAUCUCAGGCGCUCUUUGGUCGAAGUCUUUUGUUCUUCCCUAGUCGAGUGAGAUUCGUAUUCCCUUUCUGUGGAAUUGAAUGCCCAUCAUGUAAUCGAGUCUGCGUUUUAGCCCUCUUUUGGAUGAUGAGUGUCUUGGAAAUAUUCCCCAAUUCACGCUUGGUAGGUCACCUAUUAUACGCCCAGUAACCGGUAUCCCUGGUGUUC
rnacentral:lncRNA from 1 species